AAUCUUAAAAUGUUUUUCUUACAAUUUCAAGAGAGUUAAAAGUUAUUUUAUUGGUGUAAGCAAAGGAUGAAAUCUAUAAUUAUAAAUAAGUAAAAUCAUUUAUUAAAUGGAAAGUUAAGAAAUAUGGCUAAUAUUAUUAAGUUUGUUUAUGCGAUGAUUAUCAUUCUUUCUCUAUUUUUCGCUGUAACAAAUGUUGAAUCAUUGCACAAAAAUAGACAUUGUUUUGAAGAUUCAGAUUGUAUUAAAGAGAAUUGUAGAAGACCUACGGUAAACAGAUGUGUCGGACGUUUGUGUAAAUGUAUAGCAGUAUUUCAAAAACCCCUAUCAAAGAGUACCUGAAUUCAGAAAUUUUAGUCACGUAGUUAUAUAUUAGGGUCUUAAAAUAAUAUAUUUACUUCCUUAUGUAAUUUCAAUAUGGUAUUUUUAUGAUUUUGUAAUUUAAGAUGAUGGAUAUGAAAUAAAAUAAGUUAGCAAAUCAUAUUUAUUAA